UGUCCAGGCCAACAUCGGUUCUGGGGGUCGGUUAAAGACCCUGGGAAUGUAUCUACCCUUCGGGCGUAGACUUAUAGCCCAGGGUGUCAUGCGGCCUCCCGGGACCGAGGAACGCGCUUCGGCUCGGAUGUUGGCGUAAUGGUUGUCAGCGA
rnacentral:rRNA from 1 species